rnacentral:tRNA from 1 species
UGGGAUGUAGCUCAGUGGUAGAGUGCUUGUAUAGGAUGCAAGGGUCCUAGAUUCAAUCCCUAGCAAUGCAC